rnacentral:ncRNA from 1 species
GCUUGUUGUUGACUUGUUUAAUUUAUUUAUAUUCGUCUGCUAGCUGUUAGUAUUUUCACACUUGAAGUCCGGCAUGGCCGUAACAUUUGGGCUUUGACGUCCAAUUGUCAAGUUUAAUUAUCAGAUAUUUACGUCGCAAGGGGAAUGCAAAUAAAAAGGUGACAACCUUCAGCAUUACAAGGGGAUAACGAUGGGCUGGGGCGAAAGGACGGGUGAAAGGAAAACGGCGGGCAGGAAAAAACGACAGCCAGAGAAAUAAUAACUUGCAGAGGAAAAGUGACAAACAGAGAAAUAACGAUUUCCAGGAGAAUAACGACAGCCGCAAGACGAACAACAGCAAAGGCAUUUACCAAGAAUGUUUUCCUUGAUCAAGAACGAAAGUUAGAGGUUCGAAGGUGAUCAGAUAACGCCCUAGUUCUAACCAUAAACGAUGCCAUCAAGCAAUCCGUCGGAGUUACUCCAGUGACAAAGGUGAGUAGUUUAUCAACCGAAAACAACAGACAUGGGGG